GCUCUCAUAGCUCAGUCGGUUAGAGCGUGGGUCUAAUAAGCCCAAGG
rnacentral:tRNA from 1 species